rnacentral:tRNA from 1 species
GCGCCCGUAGCUCAGCAGGAUAGAGCACCGGUUUCCUAAACCGAAGGUCGUGCGUUCGAAUCGCACCGGGCGCG